CUUGGAUCCAGAUGCCUGCUUCACAGAAGGACAUCUUCUUGACUCCUGAGGGCCUUGCCCCAUUAGCCUUUGCAGCAUAGCCCCAGCCCUGCCACCCUCU
rnacentral:sRNA from 1 species